rnacentral:rRNA from 1 species
UCUACCGAUUGGACGCUGCGGUGAAGACCUGGGAUUGGUCUGCGCGGUGAUUUCUGGGGAGCAAUCCCCGGGCCCGCGGGCCGAGAACUCGUCUGAACCCCAUCGUCUAGAGGAAGAAGAAGUCGUAACAAGGUU